rnacentral:sRNA from 1 species
GCGGCGUCCACCACUUAGACGCGAGUUGUUGAAGCCGGCGGGGGAGAAGGCGUUGUUGCCGGAGCUGAGACCGGGCGGCCACAGUCCGCAGGGAUGAACCUCGAGUUGCUGGGAAGCUGAUGGAACUUUGGAUUGUAUCAGCAUGGCUUUGACUUGCACCUUUAACAGGUGGGGCACACUGCUUGCAGUUGGCUGUAAUGAUGGCCGAAUUGUCAUCUGGGAUUUCUUGACAAGAGGCAUUGCUAAAAUAAUUAGUGCACACAUCCAUCCAGUGUGUUCUUUAUGCUGGAGCCGAGAUGGUCAUAAACUCGUGAGUGCUUCCACUGAUAACAUAGUGUCACAGUGGGAUGUUCUUUCAGGCGACUGU